CACCUGAUAGCACAUGGUGUGUGUGUGCACCUGUGAAAUGUGUGUGCUUUCAACAUCUUUAACUAGAAGGCUCCGGUUCAAACCCGGGUUGGGUGG